UCCACCUCUGCGCUCCUCUGCAGAGCCCAGAGUCACUCCUCUGACUUGCAGUUCUCCCAGGGAAGGGUGACGCACUGGCGCACAAUAGGAAUUGUCGAGAUCUGAGAUGGAAGAAACGUGAGGGACCCGGGACCCGGAGGGAAGGUGUAGUGGGCACAGGCCACCUGGAAGCUAGAAGAGGUGCUGAGAACAAACCACAUUACCCAAGAUAUGGCCAAGAGGCUGAGCUCCCUAAAAGCAGGAUUUUGAGAAAUAAAUAAACAAGGAUUUGAGAAGAAAAAUGGAGCUGUGCUGGGACCUAGUGUGACAAUCCCUAGGAGGAGAUUAUGAAAACACAGUUCUGGCCCCAUAUUACCAUUAGUAUCAGUCUCCCCUUUAGACCAAGCCCUUAAGCUCCCCCAGAUCACUUAUUUAUUCCGACUGCCUGUACACCGAAGAGUUUUCCAUCACGAACUAAAUGAAUAAAUUGAUAAAAUAAUUUUAUAAUAAUAGCUAAUUUUCAUUGAAUGCCUACUAUAUGCCAGGCACUGAACUAUGCAUUUCAAUGGAUUCAUUCAUUUAAUCUUCACAACCUUAUGAAUGUGGUGUUAUGACUAGCCAAUGGUGACAAAGAUGGAAACUGCAGCACAGAGUGGUAAAGGGACUUGCCCAAGGUCACACAUAAGUGGCAAGACUGGACUCUCACACAGCCCAACUCCAGAACCUGCUGUCUCAACCACUGUCACCAACUGCCUCCUUGAAAUUAACUGAGAACAUACUGGGUGCCAGAUAAACAUUUUGUCUAUGAGUAGAAGGGCUGGGCAGUUCCUUCUGUUGCCUUGGAUUUGUCUCCUAGAAUCUCCUGUGCAUCUCUCCCUGCUCCUGAAACCCCACCUCCAUAAAAUCAGCCCAGGCCUGACACCACCCACAUCACCACCACCCUCACCAUCCCCCUCCAUCCCGCUGCCUCUAUAGAAAUUUCUAUUAAGUUUCCUCUCCUCACAGACACUAUCCUACAGAUAUGUCCACCCAUUAGCCUCUCUGCAGUGUUACGACUGGAUCAUAUUGGUCGUUCUCCUCUCAACUGCUGCUCUAAGCCCUGGAGGCCAAGGCCAGGCCUGUCGGCAUUAUUGUUGGCUCGUGAUGCACCACCUGAAAUGGGUCUGAGCCUGCAGCAGGUGCCUGUUAGAAAUGGUGACCUGAGCAGUAGCAUCAGAAUGGCACUGGCCUUGCUUUGUCUCUUUCUGUAGUCUGUUCCCUCCUGACCAAGCAGGUUAUUCCCACCAGUGGCCCCUAUAAGGAAGGCACUGUUAUUAGAAUCACUCUUUAAAUGAGGAAAAUGGGGAAGAAGGGUGUCCGAGAGGCAGACCCUCAUCUUUGGGCUCUGAGCCACCUCUUCUUUUCCAUAUCAAAUUGGUCAAAACUGGGCUAGCCCUUUCUUGGCAUAACCACCCCCUCCCAGCAUCACCAGCACUCACUAGAUCUCCCAGCACCUCAACCGGGCAAUGGAAUUGGGGUUGGGGACAGGAAUGAACCUCUACACUGAGAUGGCCUUGUAACCUUAGACACGUCACCACUUCCAGAGUUAACAUUACUUGCUCUGCUCAGAGCAUUAGUCCACAGGAUUCAGUUACAUCCUCAUAUGGAAGGCCAUCCAGAAGUAUUCUGAGGCGGCAUGCUCGUCGGCUCUGGAAUCUGACCGGUCUGAAUUUGGAUCCAGUUCUCCCUCAGUUCCAUAACCUCACCGAGCCUCAGCGUCCUGGCCUGUCAAUUGCAGCUGACCUCGCAGGCUCUCGUGAGAGCUGAGGGUGAAAUGAGUCAUGUGUGUAAAGCUCUCGGUGCAAUUCUGGGCUCAGAGAGAAUGCUCUAGAAACAGGUCCAUUAUUCUGAUGGUGACACUCCAGGCCAGCACUUCCCACAGACACAGACAUACCUGUCAAGUACAGGGGCAUUGCCAUCUCAGUGGAUUCAUUUUCCCAGAGCAACAAGUUCAUGUGGAACCAGAACAGAACAGAGCAGAAGGAUGUCAUGAACGUGGAGCCAUUUGGUGGCCGAAGGGGAGGGGAGAGGCGCCUCCCUCAGCUCCCUCCAUCCUCUGGGAUGGAUAAUUGAGGCUCCCCUAUCUUGGGCUCCAAGUCCCUCUUUCAAUCAGAUGAUCCUACUAAUACUGCUUCUAUAUUAAAAGUCCAACCUCUAAUAAAAACUGGAAAUAAAAGCAAAAGACAGUUUUAUUAUUUUA